GUGAAAAAACUAAGGACACUAUUAAAGUUAUGGAUCAGAGUCUGGACAUAGACAUCAGAAGAGAGUGCCUGCUGAAGUGCCUGAUCAUGUACCUUGGUGAAGAUGCAAGCUGUCUGAUCAAAGAAUACCAGGCUGACCAGAGGGAGGAAGCGAAGAGAGAAUUUGAAAAGACCACCAUGGCAUUUUUUG